GGCAAAGGAGACCAUCUGCCUUCUCCCCUUCCCUGCAACUCCAUGUUGGGUGCAGCAGUCUGGAGAACCAAAGGAGAGCUGAGGAUCCCAGAGCAAGGAGAUAAGCCACGCUACUGCUUAGUGAACUGCAAAAGACAGGACAGCUUAGGAGUGAUCAGAGCAGCACAGUCUCUCAGCAAUGGUGAUGGAUCCAAACCAAAUACAUCCACAAAACUGCUGAAGUUGGCAAUAGUUUUCAAACUGGGAUCACUGCGUCAUCUUUCUAAAACACCUAAGAGAGCUAGAGAGAGGUGAUGAAUCCCAAACAUACCACAGAGCUGCCCAAUCCCCACUGAAGAAGGGGAGGAAAGAAAAUUUCCUUGGGAAAGCACAGAUGGUGAAUGGUGCUGUGGGCUGGGCUGUUCCAGGGAGAAGAGAUGUUUCCGUGGCACAGAGGACAAUUCUCAUUCACAGGACUCAUCAUUUCUUGAUUCCACAAAACCAUCCUCCUAUUACAAGGAUAAAAGCGCUGCUGGGGAAAAAGAUGCUGUUUUGUAAAUUUCUUUCACAGAAAAUCUGGGGUGGAUAAUUUAGGGAAUAAUUUUCUUUUCUUUUCUUUUUUUUCUAAAUAAAAGAUGUCUGUCACUUAACCAUCAAAAAAGCAGUAAUUGAAUAGUGCCAAUGACAAAACAAAAAUUGUAGGUGAAACCAAUAGCUUUAAUUGGGUAAAUGAGGAAAAAAAAUCUGGUGUAGUCUUAGAAACUGCUGUUUGUCUGACUUAAUAAGCAAUAGUCAUUGCUGUUUGUAAUGGCACGGACAAAAGCUGCCACACUAGUGUUUUAUUAGCCAAAGAAUUUAAUAGAGCAGCAGCCUUUGUGACUGGGGCCUGACACUCAGCCUUGACAAUGCUGCUUGGAUUUAUCUAGGUGGCCAGAUAUAUUGAGCUUUGGCUCUGCAGCGGGGGGGGGGGGGGGGGCGGUGAGUGGUCAUUUUUCUUUAAGUAGUGAGAUAGAUUUUGUUGCCAACUGAAAAGGAAGGGGAGGAGAAGAAAGAAUGUGAUGCGAUGGCCUUGUUUUAAAGCAUGUGAGGUGCAGAGAGCAGGCACAAUACAGGAAAGGGUGAGUAUAGAAGAUGAAAAACAAAGGCGUAUUUACUCUGAAGGGUGCUUAAAUGCCAUUAAUAUAUAUUGUAAACCUUUAAAUGCUCUAUUAUUCAAGCAUUGUAUUAAGUGGAAUGAAAAAAAAAAAACACUGUUACUGAUUUGCAUUUUGUUAUUAAUUCAGAGUAAAAUAGAGGAAAAAUUGUCAGCAAGGUGCCUUAGUGAAUCUUAGCAUAAUAGUAACAAUUUAUGUAUGGGAAGCAAAUACUUAAAAAAA